GAUACUGAUGUAUCAAUAUUGGUUCAUUGAUUGUAAUGAACGUACCACAUUAGUAUAAGAUCUUGGUGGGGGAGGAUGUGUUCACGUAUAGAGAGCAGGUAUUUGUGAACUCUCCUUACUUUCUGUGCAAUAUUGCCAGAAACCAAAAAUUGCUCUUAAAAAGGUCUUUUAAUUAAAAAAAAAAAACAAGGGCAUAGAUAUCUUUAAUGCUUAAAAAAUGAGAGAAUUAAAGGCUAACUAUAAGCAUGGGAAUUUCCACAACUAAGUCAGCGUAGCAGUAAAAUAAUUUGAGUUUAUAUGCGUUGGCACUUACUUUUUUUUUUUUUUUUAGUUUCAAAUUUUUAAAUGAGACUUUGUUUUCCAAAAGGGUGUUGAUUGAUUAGCUAGACAGAGGGGAGUCCUUUCUUCAACGACAGGGGUCCAUAACAGAGAGACCCAGGGCAGUGCGAUGGGUACUAGAGGAGAAUGUAGAAGGAAGACAGAGGGUUUCUGACAAGGAGUACUACGUUUUCCAUUUCCAGUUACGCUUUCAGUUUUCCUUUCAGGACCCUCACAGGGCUCCCCCUCAGCCCAGGCUCAGUGCAGGCCUGCCUGGUACCAGGCUGGGCUGCAAAUGGUGUGCUACUCUGAAAUGAGAGGCAAGGCUCUGAGACCUUCUAGCCAGAGUCGGUGAGAAAAAGCCAACUGGAGGCAAACUCUUCUAUGACUCAGCCCACCAUUGCAAUCUACUGAUUUUUAUCCUUUAACGCCUAUUUACUGGGCUACUACUAAUACUAUAUAUGUCAUGUCCCUAAUUCAUACAAUAACCUUGAGGGGCAGGAAUGACCAUUUUAAUAAAUGAAGUGAGGGACUGAAGAGAUUAGUAACUUACUAAUCUCUUGCUCAGUGCUGCACAGCUCUUUAGUAGUAAGCUGAAACACGAAUCCAGUCCUGACUCACAUCAAAGUCCCAUAUGAUUCUAUUAAAUCGUGGUUUCUAUAUUCCUUGAUAACCAAUGAAACACUUUACUAGUUUUUGAUUCCAGCAUAUCCCAUUCCACUCUGUACUUGGCCACUCUCUUAGCAAGAGCCACCAGAAGCUCUGGGAAAAUGAUAUCCCCCUUCUUAGUAUUGUUUCUAUGGGACUUACAUUGGCCAGACUAGUAGCUUCUCCUCAAGGUGAAGAUUAUCAGUCAUUGUUAACUACUGUGUCCAUCCUUCCUUCCUGCUUUAUUAGUUUAACUGUUUAC
rnacentral:lncRNA from 1 species